CGGGGGAUAGCUCAGCCUGGUAGAGCACCACGUUCGGGACGUGGGGGCCGGAGGUUCGAAUCCUCUUUCCCCGACCA
rnacentral:tRNA from 1 species